rnacentral:rRNA from 1 species
AACGAACGCUGGCGGCAGGCCUAACACAUGCAAGUCGAACGCAUCGCAAGAUGAGUGGCGCGCGGGUGAGUAACACGUGGGAAUGUAUCCUUUGGUUCGGAAUAACGUCUGGAAACGGACGCUAAUACCGGAUGAGCCCUUAGGGGGAAAGAUUUAUCGCCGAAGGAGCAGCCCGCGUCUGAUUAGGUAGUUGGUGGGGUAAAGGCCUACCAAGCCGACGAUCAGUAGCUGGCCUGAGAGGAUGAUCAGCCACACUGGGACUGAGACACGGCCCAGACUCCUACGGGAGGCAGCAGUGGGGAUUAUUGGACAAUGGGCGCAAGCUUGAUCCAGCCAUGCCGCGUGGGUGAUGAAGGCCUUCGGGUUGUAAAGCUCUUUCGCACACGACGAUGAUGACGGUAGUGUGAGAAGAAGCCCCGGCUAACUUCGUGCCAGCAGCCGCCGUAACAC